CAAUAAUUCUUUCUCAUCAUUGAUGUUUCUAUCUCUCCCUCUCCCUUCCUCUUGAAAUCAAUAAAAAUAUAUUUAAAAAUAAAGAAGGAAGGAGCCAUCCAAGGAGACUUUGAGAUCUCUCAGGGAGGCAAGCCAGAAAAAUGUGGCACAUCAGAAACAAAAGAGCCCAGCCAGUGUGGCUCAGUGGUUGAGUAUCAACCUAUGAACCAGGAGGUCACAGGUUCGAUUCUCGGUCAGGGCACAUGCUCAGGUUGUUGGCUCGAUCCCUGAGGCAGCCAAUCAAUGAUUCUCUCCCUUCCUCUCUGAAAUCAAUAAAACUAUAUAUUUUUUAAAAAAACAAAAAUGAAGGAAGUUUCGAGAAGAGUGAUUUCAAGUUCUGUCCAGUAAGAAGAGGAUAGUGAAUUAACCGUGAGACUGGCGGAUUGUUAAAUUUAACAGAAUGCAAGUUGAGGGGAUAAAAGACUGGACUGGAGAGAAAGGGAUUGAAGUAGAGUCAGCAAAUGGACUCGAGUUUUCAUGUAUGUGGAGGGAUACAUGGAAUAGCUGAGCUAAGGAAAGGUUUUAACGUGUAAGGAGAUAAGACAGCAUGCGCAUAUGCCGACUGGAAUAUUGCAUCAGAAGGGGACAGAUGCAUGUAGUAGGGAGGGGUGGGUUAUUGUAGGAGCGAAAUCUGAGCAGGCAGACGAGAAGCGAGAGCUAGGACUCCUGACCGGUUAGUCUCAACAGGCACAUGGUCAGUUCCAGUUCAUGUGUCAAAAGGGAAUGCGGUGCUUUGACUCAUUUAUUCAAAUAUUUAUUCCGUAGGUAUUAUUACGAAGCACCAUUUUGAGUACUGGGGAUAAAGCAGUGACCAAAACAAGACAAAAGCCUGUAGCCUCGAGGCACUUGCAGUGAAUGGGAGUAAAGGCAGACAGCCUGCUAUACUCGGUAUUAGGGAAAUGAGAUCAUUCUCUUCGAAUAGCUACACUUUCCCAGGGAAGGGCCGGGCGGGAUGGCCUGUCGGAAGUCUCCAGGAGGGGAGAGGUGCGUAUGACUCGCUGACAGCAGCAAAGUGAAUGGACCAGGAGUGCCAGUCAGAACUGGAGGUCAGCUGGAGUCUUUGGUCAUGACUUCAAAUGAACUGGUAACUCAUCCUGUUGCCUGGAUGCAGGCAUGAAAAAUGAGUACAAAACCUUAACAUUUCAAAGUCUCUACAGCAAGCCAAAAAAAACGGCAGCUCCCAUCCCUUCUCAUAUACCCGGUAGGUGGCUUCCCUGAGAGAUCGGUCCUCAUUUCCCCAUGGAAAUGAGACGCGCCUGUCCGAGGAGCAGUUGGUAUAAAUGCGCUAGACUGCUCUCCAUCCCUUCCUGAACCAUGUCCUUAGAGACGGAUGUCGUUCUACUCUAUUUUAAGUCAAGUAUAAGUUCUCUCGCAGUUACCUUCACUGUGUUCCUAAUCUCCACACGCCAGUUAGAAGGACCGACGCUCCUGUAUCAUAGCCCACAUCCACCUGAGGGCUGUGCUCUGGACCGGAAUUCCAGAGCUGUGGACCUCUCGGCCCCUCUGGCUCCCUGUCCUGCCCCUGCCGCCGAGUCAGCUGUGAAAUGAGUGAUUUAAUAUAUGGUUAUCCUGAAAGUGUUAUUAUUCAUGUUCCUUAACGUCAGUCAGAGGAAGGAGUCCCAGUCACAAAGCUAAUGGGAUAAGUUCAUAGAGUAACAGCGUGUAAUUCACGUGUGUGGUCAUGCCUUUAAAGCAGCACUUUCUAAGCUUUGGGCAGAACCAUCUGGAUGGGUUUUGACAUUUCCACACACCUUUCUAAUUUUAUAUUUAAAAGUGUUGUUUAAUUAACAGUUUUCUUAAGAACAACUCACUCUGAUGUCAAUUUAUUUGGAAAAAGAAGCAUGUCGCUUUGGUAAAUGGAAAAUGGGUAUCCCUUUCUGUGAAUAGGAGAUUACCGAAACACAUAAUGAAACCAAAGGAGUCAUUAAAUUUCAGCUAUGUAGUAUUGCCUAUGAAGACUCAGCCCCAACUCUACCCUCCCUUUAUGUUUAAAAAAAAUAUUUUUUAUGUUUUUAUUGAUUUCAGAGAGAGGAAGGGAGAGGGAGAGAUAGAAACAUUGAUGAGAGAGAAUCAUCCAUCAGCUGUCUCCUGCACACCCCCUACCGGAACCGAACCGUGACCUCCUGGUUCAUAGGUUGAUGCUCAGUCACUGAGCCCCUCCAGCGGGGCUACCCUCCUUUUAUGAAAGGUGUGACUAGUAACUAAUAUUAGGUGAGGGUGAAAACCAUGACCAGCAGAAUUAAUCUUUCUGCAUGAUGUAACCAAAAGGAUUUGAAGAGAAUUUUGAGCACUACUGUCAUCUUGGUCUGGGAAGUGCUUUUAGCACCAAAAGGUUAAUCAUUGCAGUUCCUUGCUUAUUAGCCUAAAACAGAAAUAUUAACAUGUCUUAAUUUAAAGGCAUUUACCUCGCUACGUGCAGACAGAAUGUGCCUCUUAAUAACGGUUUCUGUAAACCCCCCCCCCCCCCCCGAGGCAUCGCCGGCAUUAUCUGUGUCAGUAUUAGAGUAACUGGCAUUACCCGACUCCUCAGGAGCCUCUAAUCUCGCCUGUCUUCUAAUCUCAGGAGAAACACCGCAGCCCUUCCAGUGCGAUUCUUUGGGGUUGAGCGAGAGUUCCGGGCAGACUUGUCUACAGUUGCUUUCGGGCCCAGCCUUCCAGCCCUGAAAACCCCCUUAGAGUCUUCAGCUCCUGUGUCUCCCUCCCUCAACCCUGUUUCAAUCCAACUCAGCCCACCUCACUUCUGCAUCCGGGUGGCGAGAAGGAAGCUGGGUUAAUUCACAACGGUGCUGACUGCUCAUUCCUUCGUUUCAUGACAAAGCUCAGCAGGCCCUGGAGUGUCCUGGCCUUCCCACAGCUUCUACAUCAGUUACUCCUUCACUUGCUGAGACCCUAUUCUACUUGCUCUUCUCUGCCUUUAACCCUCUAGGCUAGGACCACUCCUCCUUUCACAAUCAUGAAGGUGAUUAACCUGCGUCUUAUUUCACUAAAAACAACCACAGAGUGAGCCAGAGAUCACCUGCCAGCCCCAGCAGACUCUCAGCCUCCUGACGGAUGUGUGUUUAAGGCCAAUGUCCCUCUUCUCAUGGGUAGAAGCUUUGUUCCUGCAACUCUUCCCUCUGUCUCAGCUGUUCAUGUUCCCUUUGUUGGACUUUUCUGUUGGCCUGUAAUGUUGUUAUAUUUCCAAUCUUAAAAACAAGAAGGAAAAACAAUAACGAACAGCCCUCCGUCCCCUGCCAACUAAUGUCCCAUUUUCUUUGCUCACCUCUGGAGAGAAACACCUUAAAAGGGUUGUCUAUUUUUGUCUCACUUUCUCUCCUUCAUUCUUUUCACAUUGGCUUUUUCUCCAGCAUCCCAACAAAACUGCCUUCAUGUUAUCAAAAGCAAUUGUCAGUCGUCUGCCAUUAUCUUUUCCUGCCAGCGUUUGACACCAAUGAUCACUCUUUCUCCAAGUGCUUUCCUUACACUUGGCCUCCGGGAUACGAAGUGCACUUGCUCUCGAAUCUUCAAGUCACCGAUGGUUUCUUCUUGGUUUGCUUCGCUGAAUCCUGUCCUCCAAAUUCCAGCGUCCCAGGCGAAGACUUCAGGAGCCUGUUCCAUCCACCCUCACGCCCUUGGUCACCUCCCCAUCUGGUGGCAUAAACACUUCCAUGCUCUGAUGACUCCCAAAUGUGUGUCAGCUCCCAGCCCCCACAUCCAGACUUACAUAUCCAGUUGCUCCUCAACAUUUCCUUUGCUGCCCAAACCUAACAUACAGUGUCCAGCCGGCGUGGCUCGGUAGUUGAACGUCGACCUGUGAACCAGGAGGUCAUAGCUUGAUUCCCGGUCAGCGCACAUGCCUGGGUUGUGGGCUCGAUCCCUAGUUUGGAGCAUGCAGGAGGCAGCCGCUCAGUGAUUCUUUCUCAUCAUUGAUGUUUCUAUCUCUCUCUCCCUCUCCCUUCCUCUCUGAGAUCAAUAAAAAUAUAUUUGAAAAAACAAACAAAACAAACUUAACAUGUAGCUCCUGACUCACGCUCCUUCCUGGCCAUGGACCUACUCGUUCCCAGUUCCCAGUCUUCCUCUUCAUGUAAAAGGCACUUCCAACUUUUAGUUGUUUCUGCCCAGCAUCUUGGAGUCACCUUUGACUGCUUCUGUUCUCUUAUACUCCAGGACAAGUUUGUCUUCAAAUUCUGAUGGUUUGACCUUCGAUAUACUCGCAGCUUGCUGCUCCUGCUCCUGGCCUCCCCGAGACCAGCGUCAAUCACUUCCGCCAGGACUGCUGGAAUAGCCUCCCCACCAGCUUCCUGUUUCCACCUUUGCCCUUCUGUUUGUUUCCUACAAAGUUGCUAGAGUCCUCUGCUAACAGACCCGUCCCAUAGUAAAAUCCAAAGUCCUUACAAUGCCUUCAAGACUUGCUCUGGCUUCAGACUCUGAGUUCUCCUAGCACUCUCCUUUGCUCACUCUGUUCCAAUCACAUGGCCACCUGGCUGUGCCCUGAGCACGUGGCUCACUCUCCAGCCCCCGGCCUUUGCACUUCCUCCUCCCUCUGCCUGCAACGGACUGCUCAGAGUUCCAUCUCACUCGCUCCCCCCACAGCUACUCCACAAAUACCUACUUUAUGCCCUGGAAUGCCUCCUGUUCCUCUGACCCACCCAAACGCUUAUCCAGCUCCACCUAUGUUAGGAGGAGACCAUAAUCUAUGAACCUCUCAUGAAAGGCUGUUUACCUGACCUUGGCCUUCUCAGAGAAUUUUAAUAUCGUUAGUCCUGCUGCUGUGACAUUGAUCCAAACAUAUCUUGAAGUUGUGGAAAUUUGAGAUAGUCUAUAAUGGGUAUGCAAAAAGAAAAGAAAGAACACCAAGGAAAAGGAAAAAUUUUCUAAUGUUAUCUGCCGUUUACCUUUAAUUUUCCAUCGUAUGGUUAUUUGACUCUCUUUCCACCUCCUUGGUGGAGCUAUGUCUGUUCUCAGCUGUGUGAUCAGUGCCUGGAAUAGUGCAGACGCACCAUAUGUCCUUAAUAAAUAUUUUUUUUUAAUGAA